rnacentral:rRNA from 1 species
GAUGAACGCUAGCGACAGGCCUAACACAUGCAAGUCGAGGGGCAGCGGGGAUGAAGCUUGCUUCAUCUGCCGGCGACCGGCGCACGGGUGAGUAACACGUAUGCAACCUGCCCGCCACAGGGGGAUAAACGCUGGAAACGGCGCCUAAUACCCCAUACUAUCGCUAUGCUGCAUGGCAUGGCGAUGAAAACUCCGGUGGUGGCGGAUGGGCAUGCGGCGCAUUAGCUAGUUGGAGGGGUAACGGCCCACCAAGGCGACGAUGCGUAGGGGUUCUGAGAGGAAGGUCCCCCACACUGGUACUGAGACACGGACCAGACUCCUACGGGAGGCAGCAGUGAGGAAUAUUGGUCAAUGGGCGGGAGCCUGAACCAGCCAAGUCGCGUGAGGGAAGACGGCCCUACGGGUUGUAAACCUCUUUAGUCGGGGAGCAAAAAGGCCACGCGUGGUCCAUUGAGCGUACCCGAAGAAUAAGCAUCGGCUAACUCCGUGCCAGCAG